rnacentral:rRNA from 2 species
GGAUGCGAUCAUACCAGCACUAAAGCACCGGAUCCCAUCAGAACUUCGAAGUUAAGCGUGCUUGGCGAGAGUAGUACUAGGAUGGGUGACCUCCUGGGAAGUCCUCGUGUUGCAUUCC